rnacentral:rRNA from 1 species
AAACCAGCACCUCAAGUGGUCAGGAUGAUUAUUGGGCCUAAAGCAUCCGUAGCCGGCUCUGUAAGUUUUCGGUUAAAUCUGUACGCUUAACGUACAGGCUGCUGGAAAUACUGCAGAGCUAGGGAGUGGGAGAGGUAGACGGUACUCGGGAGGAAGUGGUAAAAUGCUUUGAUCUCUCGAUGACCACCUGUGGCGAAGGCGGUCUACCAGAACACGUCCGACGGUGAGGGAUGAAAGCUGGGGGAGCAAACCGGAUUAGAAACCCCAGUAGUCC